ACCACGACCAUUAAACCACUAUCAUACACAGGUUGACGAUUACGUUGAUUUUUACAUCAGCCAGCAACGACUGGAGCCUCAGAUUCAACUUAUCUUGUUUCUCUUGUUCAUGCUUUGUCUCCACCCGGUGGCUGAACCUGGUAACCCUUCGUUCGUUGAUACGUGUAUAUUGGUUGGGGUAAUGUCUGGUAUCAUUCUUGGACGAAGCCAGAGAUCUCGUUUUCUUGGAAUGUCAGCGUUGCUCGAAACGCAA